rnacentral:tRNA from 1 species
GGUCCCGUAGUGUAGCGGUUAUCACGUCGCCCUGUCACGGCGAAGAUCGCGGGUUCGUUCCCGUCGGGACCG